GGUUAAGUGACUAAGCGUACACGGUGGAUGCCUAGGCAGUCAGAGGCGAUGAAGGGCGUGCUAAUCUGCGAAAAGCGUCGGUAAGGUGAUAUGAACCGUUAUAACCGGCGAUACCCGAAUGGGGAAACCCAGUGUGUUUCGACACACUAUCAUGUCAUGAAUACAUAGUGGCAUGAGGCGAACCGGGGGAACUGAAACAUCUAAGUACCCCGAGGAAAAGAAAUCAACCGAGAUUCCCCCAGUAGCGGCGAGCGAACGGGGAGGAGCCCAGAACCUGAAUCGGCUUGUGUGUUAGUGGAAGCGUCUGGAAAGUCGCGCAGCAAAGGGUGAUAGCCCCGUACACUAAAAUGCACAGGUCGUGAGUUCGAUGAGUAGGGCGGGACACGUGACAUCCUGUCUGAAUAUGGGGGGACCAUCCUCCAAGGCUAAAUACUCCUGACUGACCGAUAGUGAACCAGUACCGUGAGGGAAAGGCGAAAAGAACCCCGGCGAGGGGAGUGAAAUAGAACCUGAAACCGUGUACGUACAAGCAGUGGGAGCACCUUCGUGGUGUGACUGCGUACCUUUUGUAUAAUGGGUCAGCGACUUAUAUUUUGUAGCAAGGUUAACCGUAUAGGGGAGCCGUAGGGA
rnacentral:rRNA from 1 species